rnacentral:rRNA from 1 species
GACGAACGCUGGCGGCGUGCCUAAUACAUGCAAGUUGAGCGCUGAAGGUUGGUACUUGUACCAACUGGAUGAGCAGCGAACGGGUGAGUAACGCGUGGGGAAUCUGCCUUUGAGCGGGGGACAACAUUUGGAAACGAAUGCUAAUACCGCAUAAAAACUUUAAACACAAGUUUUAAGUUUGAAAGAUGCAAUUGCUUCACUCAAAGAUGAUCCCGCGUUGUAUUAGCUAGUUGGUGAGGUAAAGGCCCACCAAGGCGAUGAUACAUAGCCGACCUGAGAGGGUGAUCGGCCACAUUGGGACUGAGACACGGCCCAAACUCCUACGGGAGGCAGCAGUAGGGAAUCUUCGGCAAUGGACGAAAGUCUGACCGAGCAACGCCGCGGGAGUGAAGAAGGUUCUCGGAUCGUAAAACUCUGUUGGUAGAGAAGAACGUUGGUGAGAGUGGAAAGCUCAUCAAGUGACGGUAACUACCCAGAAAGGGACGGCUAACUACGUG